GCUGUCUCUGGGAAUUAUGUCUCGACAAAUGCGAAAUUUGAUGUGGCUUAUGAUCAUUUGUUGUUCUACAUGCCAGAUAAGCAGUUCUGAAAAUCAGAUCAAAAUCGACAUCCAAGUCUGUUUGACUGAUGAAUAUUUCUGGAACAGAAGUAGCUCACCAUAUCCAGAUAAUAACAUAUAUAAUUUUUACAUAAAUGUCAAACUAAACAUCGAGCCUGUUAAUCCUGGAGAGAAAUGUAAAAAUGUGGUAUAUGACAAAGGUCUAUGCAGCGG